GCUAGUAAUGGCAGGUCAGCAUACUGCCGUGAAUACGUUCCCGGGCCUUGUACACACCGCCCGUCACACCAUGAGAGUUGGGAAUACCCGAAGCCUGUGAGCUAACGCAAGAGGCAGCAGUCGAAGGUAGAAUCAAUGAUUGGGGUGAAGUCGUAACAAGGUAGC
rnacentral:rRNA from 1 species